UACGUAGGGUGCAAGCGUUGUCCGGAAUUAUUGGGCGUAAAGAGCUCGUAGGCGGUCUGUUGCGUCGGCUGUGAAAACCCGGGGCUCAACUCCGGGCCUGCAGCCGAUACGGGCAGACUAGAGUUCGGCAGGGGAGACUGGAAUUCCUGGUGUAGCGGUGAAAUGCGCAGAUAUCAGGAGGAACACCGGUGGCGAAGGCGGGUCUCUGGGCCGAUACUGACGCUGAGGAGCGAAAGCCAGGGGAGCAAACAGG
rnacentral:rRNA from 1 species